CCCCUAGAUGUUCUGGGCCGCACGCGCGCUACACUGAACAGUUCAACAAGUCUUAACCUUGGCUGAUAGGUCUGGGUAAUCUUUGAACGCUGUUCGUGAUUGGGAUAGACCUUUGCAAUUAUGGGUCUUCAACGAGGAAUUCCUAGUAAACGCAAGUCAUCAGCUUGCAUUGAUUACGUCCCUGCCCUUUGUACACACCGCCCGUCGCACCUACCGAUUGAAUGGUCCGGUGAAAUCUCGGGACGGCGGCUUGGUCGCUUGCGUCCGACUGCUGAAACUUGAUUAAACCAUAUCAUUUAGAGGAAGGUGAAGUCGUAACA
rnacentral:rRNA from 1 species